rnacentral:rRNA from 1 species
UACCCUAGUGUGAAUUGCAGAAUUCCGCGAAUCAUCGAGUCUUGAACGCAAGUUGCGCCCGAGGCUUGUCCCGAGGGCAUGCCUGCCUGAGCGUCACCGCAGUCCCACCCGCAUCCCCCCUCGUCGGGGGAUGAAGGAGUGGAAUUGGCCGUCCGAGACUUGGCGCGAGUGCCCUCGUUUGCGGUCGGCUGAAAUGGAGCGUUCUGGACGCAGUCGGAGAGAGAGGCCGCGAGAAGGUGAUCCGCUCUUGUGGCGGAGUCUAUUUGACAGCGUCUCUCCCUUCGGUGGUCCUUGGAACUUGGAGCGAAUCGCCCCUCCUGCCGAGGGUGAAAUACAGCUUGGACCUCAGAUCAGGCAAGAUUACCCGCUGAGUUUAA